AGGGCACCACCAGGAGUGGAGCCUGCGGCUUAAUUUGACUCAACACGGGAAAACUCACCCGGCCCGGACACUGGAAGGAUUGACAGAUUGAGAGCUCUUUCUUGAUUCAGUGGGUGGUGGUGCAUGGCCGUUCUUAGUUGGUGGAGUGAUUUGUCUGGUUAAUUCCGAUAACGAACGAGACUCUAGCCUACUAAAUAGAUCGUCGGCUUAUAAACGCCGGCGAGACUUCUUAGAGGGACAGGCGGUGAUUCAACCGCACGAAACAGAGCAAUAACAGGUCUGUGUUGCCCUUAGAUGUCCGGGGCCGCACGCGCGCUACACUGAAGUGAUCAGCGUGCUUUUUCAACCUACUCUGUCAAGAGUGGGGAACCCAAUGAACCUUCUUCGUGAUUGGGAUAGGGGAUUGUAAUUAUUCCCCUUGAACGAGGAAUUCCCAGUAGGCGCGAGUCAUAAGCUCGCGUUGAUUACGUCCCUGCCCUUUGUACACACCGCCCGUCGCUACUACCGACUGAAUGUUUU
rnacentral:rRNA from 1 species